CACAGGCUUCUGUUCUCCUCCCAGGGAUUGCCCCCCAGCAUACCACCAGGUUAGGCCAAGUCAUCACUUCCCUAAAGAUGGGUACUGCAGCAGUCAAUCUUCUGCAGUUUGAUUUACCCAGUCUAGUAAAGACCUGCUAAACCCAGCACUGAGGCACCUGUUGGUGCUGGCCCUGGUAUUCCCGCUCCUCCUCGCAUUUCUCCCGUCAACCUCCCACUGUGAGAAUGUCACCAAAGCUUGGCAUCGACUCCAGAUACAUUUUUUACACAGCUGGAAUUGGGUACCUUAAGCUGACCUUUCCUCGUAGUGUGGACCUGGCCCUCGAAUCACCUUUCAGUAUUUCAUAGCCUGCAUACUGAGGCACCAUCAUUUUCUGCACUUAAUUGCUUUGGGAUCCGUUCCUGUAGGGAAUAAUUUCUUGGACACACUGGGUACAGGUGAAAACAAGCAGAGGAUUUAUUGGUUCACACAGCUGGUGGAGUAUUCAUCAGGGGUUAAUCCGAUGGAAGAUAACGGGAUGAAACAACUGCACGAAUUGGUAUGUGACCAAAGCCCGAGAU